AAAUUGAAGAGUUUGAUCAUGGCUCAGAUUGAACGCUGGCGGCAGGCCUAACACAUGCAAGUCGAACGGUAACAGGAAGAAGCUUGCUUCUUUGCUGACGAGUGGCGGACGGGUGAGUAAUGUCUGGGAAACUGCCUGAUGGAGGGGGAUAACUACUGGAAACGGUAGCUAAUACCGCAUAACGUCGCAAGACCAAAGAGGGGGACCUUCGGGCCUCUUGCCAUCGGAUGUGCCCAGAUGGGAUUAGCUAGUAGGUGGGGUAACGGCUCACCUAGGCGACGAUCCCUAGCUGGUCUGAGAGGAUGACCAGCCACACUGGAACUGAGACACGGUCCAGACUCCUACGGGAGGCAGCAGUGGGGAAUAUUGCACAAUGGGCGCAAGCCUGAUGCAGCCAUGCCGCGUGUAUGAAGAAGGCCUUCGGGUUGUAAAGUACUUUCAGC
rnacentral:rRNA from 1 species